UCCCCGUUACCGAGGCAGUAUCGCUAGAGAAAUUCAACUAGCGAGAAGGGUUGCGCUCGUUUAGGGACUUAACCCGACAUCUCACGACACGAGCUGACGACGGCCAUGCAUCACCUGUCACUGGUCCAGCCGAACUGACCUCUUAGUUUCCUAAAAGUACGACCAGGAUGUCAAACCUGGGUAAGGUUCUUCGCGUACCCUCGAAUUAAACCACACGCUCCACCGCUUGUGCGGGUCCCCGUCAAUUCCUUUGAGUUUUAGCCUUGCGGCCGUACUCCCCAGGCGGGAUGCUUAACGCGUUUGCUUCGCUACCGAACGGGUCGAUACGUCCAACAGCUAGCAUCCAUUGUUUACGGCGUGGACUAC
rnacentral:misc_RNA from 1 species